rnacentral:rRNA from 1 species
UACGAGGGGGGCAAGCGUUGUUCGGAAUUAUUGGGCGUAAAGGGCGCGUAGGCGGUUUGACAAGUCUGAUGUGAAAUCUAUGGGCUCAACCCCAUAGCCUGCAUUAGAAACUGUCGGGCUUGAGUAUGGGAGAGGUGAGUGGAAUUUCCGGUGUAGCGGUGAAAUGCGUAGAUAUCGGAAGGAACACCUGUGGCGAAAGCGGCUCACUGGACCAUAACGUGACGCUGAGGCGCGAAAGCUAGGGGAGCAAACAGG